AUUUACCAUAAACCUUAAAGAAUUCAUGAACCCUAAUCUCUCUUACUAUCAUCAACCCUAAUUCCUAAUUCUCAAAAUUCAUCUUUGCUCAGUGACCACCUCGCCGGCGGCUGUGCGUCCACCUUCUCUUGUGCGUCCCUCACAAGAGGUGCGUCCACCUUCUCUUGUGCGUCCCAAGGCUCCCGAUUUGGAUUUCACGGUUUGGGUCGUUUUCCUCAUCUUCUGCAGCAAGGCUCGCGAUUUGGUUCAUUUCCCUCAUCUUCUGCAUCAAGGCUGGCGAUUAGGGUUCUUCAUCUACCUCUCUUCAUCUAACGGCAAUGGAUAAUGGCAAUUCAUCAGCUUCCUCUGUUUCCAAAAGCACAUCAUCAAUUAGGGGGUCCAACAUGCAAAGAUGCUUCUGUGGUGAUCCUUGUACUGUCAGAGUUUCUAAAACUGAAAAACCCAGGGAGGAUGUUUUUUGGCUGUCAAAAAUUUGGUAGACCGGAACAUUGUGACUUUUUUAUUUGGUGUGAUGAGACAAGUCGAGUAUCAACCAAGCUUAUCAAUGAUCUAGUGAUGAAGAACAAAAAAAUGAUGGAUGAGGUGGAAGCACAAAAGGCAAGGGUAUUGACUUUGGAGAAAGAUCUGUUGGAUACUAAUCAACUCUUGGAAUCUACCAUACAAGAAGUUCAUUCACUUAGGAAUAAGUUUAGGAAACUGGUAGCUUUGGUAUUUUGUUUGCCAUUUUGUUUUGUUGUGUGUUUAGUUUGGAUUCUAUUCAGUUUCAUGUCAUAAACAGAUUUGGAGUCACAUUUCAGCUUUAUGUAUCAAGAUGUUUUAAUUGGGUGACAGUGGAACUAAUCUUUUCUGGUUUGAAAUGCUUGAAAACACUUUAGUCA